AAACGACAUCAUCGUCGCUCUCUCCCCAAACGAAACAAACCUUCUUUAUCUCCUCCGACACCGCUCAAAAAACUUGCCUCUAAUCAACCCUAAACCUUCUUCAAAAUCGCAGUAAUAAAUCUAUGUUUGGCAAUCAUGAAUUCUAUGAACUCUACUCGCACAUGAAACCCAAAUACUCAAACAUAAAACCAAACCAAACAUUCACAGUGGUGGAAAUCAUGUGGGGAAGUGAAGAACUAUGUAUGCAUUUGGUUGCAUCAGAGAUAAUGACAAAGGAUUUUACCAGAUCGAGGUGCUUUGGAGUUGAACGAACAGGUUACAACUCUGAGAUGACUUUGAUGGAAUGGGAAAAAAAGUGGGUUGUAAGACAGUAAGUUAGAGGCGCGCCCAAGUCAAGGAACCUGUUUCCAUUUGCAGCAAAUUUCCACUUAGUUAAAAUAUAAUUAUUUAGUUUAAUUAAUUUUUUUUAAAGACAAAAUGUAUUUGGGCUAUUCUGUAACUUAUUGAAUUAAAAGUCUAAUGGCCAUUGUAACUUGUCGGACUUGGAAAGAAUUGAA